UCUUGUUCUUUUUCUUGUUCUUCUUCGUUUCACCUCCAGUACCCUUCUCCUCUGUUCGGCGUCAGCAACGUCUCCAGUUCAGGUCAUCUCUGCCUCCUUCUAUUCAAAGCAUCUUCGCUAGCCACGAGAUCGUGACCAAGUAUAUGGGUGUGAUUUGGGAGAGUUUUACAAACAAGAAGACGAAAGUACCGUCCAGAACCCACGAGAUUGCCCGGAGACGAUGGUCGUGGCGGCCGGGUUCGACCCGUUAAAGGAAAAGAGAGAUCGAGAUGUUCCUUGCGUGAGGCUCCAACAGAUUAAGGACUUCCACUAAGAUUUCUCAAGGUUAGUGCUUUCUUUUUCUCCAAGUUUAUGUUUUGUAGCGAGAGUUGCGAAUUUUUAGUGAUGAUCGCAUUUGGAAGAUAGGCUUUACUGCUGGUUCGUACUUGUAUUACUGAAA